GACGAACGCUGGCGGCGUGGAUUAGGCAUGCAAGUCGAACGGUAUCAUCCUUUCGGGGGUGAGAGAGUGGCGAACUGGUGAGUAACACGUAGGUUAUCUACCCUCAGGACGGGGACAACCCAGGGAAACUUGGGCUAAUACCGGAUGUGAGCAACUUUUAGUUGUUUGAAAGGUGGCGUAAGCUGUCGCUUGGGGAUGAGCCUGCGUCCUAUUAGUUAGUUGGUGAGGUAACGGCUCACCUAGGCAAUGAUAGGUAGGCGGCCUUAACGGGUGGUCGCCCACACUGGGAUUGAGAUACGGCCCAGACUCCUACGGGAGGCAGCAGUCGAGAAUAGUCUACAAUGGUCGGAAGACUGAUAGUGCGACGCCGCGUGAACGAUGAAUCCCUUCGGGGUGUAAAGUUCUUUUAUAUGUGAGCAGUGCUUCUUAUAUUAACAGUAUGGGGAGAGAGAUAUUAGCAUAUGAAUAAGCAACGGCUAACUCCGUGCCAGCAGCCGCGGUAAU
rnacentral:rRNA from 1 species